CAGUCGCCACGGUAAUACAGAGGGUGCGAGCGUUAAUCGGAUUUACUGGGCGUAAAGCGUGCGUAGGCGGCUUCUUAAGUCGGAUGUGAAAUCCCUGAGCUUAACUUAGGAAUUGCAUUCGAUACUGGGAAGCUAGAGUAUGGGAGAGGAUGGUAGAAUUCCAGGUGUAGCGGUGAAAUGCGUAGAGAUCUGGAGGAAUACCGAUGGCGAAGGCAGCCAUCUGGCCUAAUACUGACGCUGAGGUACGAAAGCAUGGGGAGCAAACAGGAUUAGAUACCCCGGUAGUCCCUGUCUCUUAUAA
rnacentral:rRNA from 1 species